GACAGAGGCCUCAAGCGUUAGGCGGAAUCACUGGGCUUAAAGCGUGUGUAGGCGGAUCGUUAAGUGCCUUGUGAAAUCCCACGGCUUAACUGUGGAACGGCUGGGCAUACUGGCGGUCUUGAGCCAUCUAGGGGCGACUGGAACAAACGGUGGAGCGGUGAAAUGCGUUGAGAUCGUGAGGAACGCCCGCGGCGAAAGCGAGCGCCUGGACCCUUUCUGACGCUGAGACGCGAAAGCCAGGGGAGCGAACGGG
rnacentral:rRNA from 1 species